rnacentral:rRNA from 1 species
UACGGAAGGUGCAAGCGUUAAUCGGAAUUACUGGGCGUAAAGCGCGCGUAGGCGGCUUCGUAAGUCGGGUGUGAAAGCCCCGGGCUCAACCUGGGAACGGCACUCGAUACUGCGGAGCUCGAGUACGAGAGAGGGGGGUGGAAUUCCAGGUGUAGCGGUGAAAUGCGUAGAUAUCUGGAGGAACACCGGUGGCGAAGGCGGCAUCCUGGACCGGUAUUGACGCUGAUGCGCGAAAGCCAGGGGAGCAAACGGG